GGGGCCUGCCGCCGCCACCGCCUCAGGGAAGAGGAAGGAGGCCGCGGCUUCGCGUCCCGCCUCUCGCCUGGCUGGCCGUGGGGGGCCUGGACGCAGUGGCCUCCCGAAUCUCCCAGGACCCUAAUAUCGCCCGAGGAUGCUGGGAGGAACGCUGAGCCGACCUCUCCGUUAGGCUGAAGAUUGCACAAACCAUGCUAAUGGCCAGCAUGGAUGGAGGGAGCGUGUGAGAUGUGUGGGGCAGCGUGCUGCAUCUCAGCCAACUCCAGGAGGAAGCAUGCUCAUGGCAAUACCCGGAGUCUCCACUGCAAGACCAGAGUGACGGAGGCAGCAGAGCUCCUCAGCAGGCCAGGAGUCUCCAGAGGCACUGCCGAAUGUCUAAGAAGCAACCUCAUUGUAUUCCCAAGACCUGGGAAUCCAGGUCUCGCAGAUACGAUGAUACAAUCUAUAGCCAGGACAUCUCUUCAUGUGUAGUUUUCAAUGAAUACUAGGAUAAGCAACUAUCCCAGUCUUCCCAGGAUUGAGGGGCUUCUCCAGAUGCUGCACUUCUGGUGCUAAAAAUGAGAAACUGAAAUGAAUUAGUCACCCAAGGAAUGCUGACCCUGUGCUAUAUGAUCACAUUUACUCUUUAAAGCAAUGCUUUGAGACAUGAAAGCCAGAUAGGGAAGAAUUUGCAGCCUCAUACUGAUUGGCCAGUUGAGGAGUCAACUCAUCUCUCUUAUAGAAAAAAGAAGAUUACAUUUACGGAAUACAGAAUAUACUGUGCUCUCUACUUACCAAGAGAUUUCUUUCUCUACUGACAACUUUCUGUUGACGUGGUUACUGUGCAGGUUCUGACAGUCGAUUCUUUCCACCUAGUUCACUGCUGAAGCUAUAAUGAUUUCCAUUUUGCAAAAAGAGGAUGAUUACUUAUUAUCUGUGACCAUUUCUCAAUUCCAGAACAAUUGAGCUGCAUAGUCCCUGCAAUCUUAUAAAGGCAUUUGGCCUGGAAGAUGCUCUGCAGCCAUGUGCCAAGAAUAACGGCUAUAGGGACAAUGUUUCAUUAACCCCAAAGCAGCAACCUGAACCUCUUACUGUACAAUAUCUGCUCCGUUCAGAAUUAGCUCGACUUGAGUCACAGGAUGAAGCUUACCAAAAGGAAUUUCCACGUCCAAGGAAGGAACCAAGAUCACUGAGAGGUUAUAGUAUGAAAAGUGAAGAGAAAAAACCUAUUCUAAACAUUUUAUUAAUUGUCAAUAAUUAUUUUAAAAUAUUUAAUAUAGUCUCCUACCUGGUCCACUGGCAUCAAGCUGCCAAAUUUACACGGUCACUUUGGGAAGCCAGCUGGCAGGCAAACAUGGAAAGUGCUGGCUCCUAGCGUAGUGAGAAGACCACAGAUAGAUGGUAAUUUUCUUCUUUGUUUUAUUUUUCUUUUUCUUCUCUCCCUCUUUUUCUUCCCUCUUGCCUUUCCCUCCCAUUGCCCACUUUCUUUUUUUGGCUGCCGAAGAUUUAUUGCCUUUCAGUACUUAUAGAUGAUGUUUUCAUAAGUUCUAAUGAGGUCCCAGCAGUUUUUAACAAUAACAGGACAUUACUGUUCCUAAGAUAUAUUAUGUGUUUUCCCUCAUCUUUCUCCCUUGAAUGAAAUGCUUAGAAGUAGGCUAACCCCCAAUUCCCUUCCCUUUACUAUGAUAAAUGGCUCCAUUACUUAAUAGGGCUAAAUACUCUGCUGUGACUUUUAUACUGCUGAUUUGAAUAAAAUCUUACGAAAAGCUUUUCUCGUGU
rnacentral:lncRNA from 10 species